UUUAAAUGUAGAGGAGAAUCUUAAAGGAGUAAUAGUUAUGAUCUUGAAAAUUAAAGAUUUUGGCGGUAUUCUAGUCUCGUCAGAGGAACCUGUCCUGUAAUUGAUAACCCACGAUAAAUUGAACUUGUUUUAAUAAGCUUGUAUAUCGUCGUAUGGAAUAUUUUUUAAGAAGGAGAAUAUUCAUAAUAUUCAAUUAAAUAGAAGUUCAGAUCAAGAUAUAGCUAAUAGAUAAGGAGAGAUGGGUUACAUUAAAUUUAUUUGUUGGAUAUUAAGAUGAAUAUUUUAAUUAAAAAUGGAUUUGAAAGUAAUUUGAAAUUUUUUUUUUGAAUGAUUAUAGCUCUGG
rnacentral:rRNA from 1 species